rnacentral:lncRNA from 10 species
UUGAGAAAGACCCCAACAGAAGUUAGAGUCUCAGCAUCAAGGAUUUUCCCAUGGUGAUUGGAAUAUACAUGGAAAAGAACUGAAUAAGACCAUCAAUCAAGAUGAUCUUAUUGAUAUUUAUGGAAUACUCCACCCAAUAAUAGCAAGAUACAUAUUCUUUUCAAGUGUCCAGGGAGUUUUCACCAAGAUAUACCAUAUCCUGAGUCAUAAACAAGCCUCAACACAUUUAAAAUAAUUAAAAUUACACAGAGUAUGUUCUCUGAUCAUAAUGCAAUCAAACUAGAAAUCAAUAACAGAAAGACAACAGGGAAAUCUUGAAACAAGUGAAAAUUAACACAUU